rnacentral:rRNA from 1 species
UACGUAUGGUGCAAGCGUUAUCCGGAUUUACUGGGUGUAAAGGGAGCGUAGACGGAGUGGCAAGUCUGAUGUGAAAACCCGGGGCUUAACCCCGGGACUGCAUUGGAAACUGUCAAUCUAGAGUACCGGAGAGGUAAGCGGAAUUCCUAGUGUAGCGGUGAAAUGCGUAGAUAUUAGGAGGAACACCAGUGGCGAAGGCGGCUUACUGGACGGUAACUGACGUUGAGGCUCGAAAGCGUGGGGAGCAAACAGG